rnacentral:rRNA from 1 species
UACGAGAGGCCCAAACGUUAUUCGGAAUUACUGGGCUUAAAGAGUUCGUAGGCGGCGCAGAAAGUAGGGUGUGAAAGCCCUCGGCUUAACCGAGGAAUUGCGCUCUAAACUACUGUGCUUGAGGAACCUAGAGGUGAGCAGAACAGAUGGUGGAGCGGUGAAAUGCGUUGAUAUCAUCUGGAAUACCGGAGGCGAAGGCGGCUCACUGGCCAGUUUCUGACGCUGCAGCGCGAAAGCGUGGGGAUCAAACAGG